rnacentral:snRNA from 1 species
AUCGCUUCUCGGCCUUUUGGCUAAGAUCAAGUGUAGUAUCUGUUCUUAUCAGUUUAAUAAAAGCCUAAUAUGCAAAUUGACUGAAAAGCGGAACGACA